rnacentral:rRNA from 1 species
GGGGAAUAUUGGGCAUGGACGCAAGUCUGACCCAGCAACGCCGCGUGAAGGAAGAAGGCUUUCGGGUUGUAACUUCUUUUAAGGGGGAAGAGCAGAAGACGGUACCCCUUGAAUAAGCCACGGCUAACUAC